ACAGAAUUUAGGGGGAGAAGAUCCAGAUGUGCAGGAGCAGCAGGGAGAGCAGAGCCGGACACAGCAGAGAAAGGUCUGCGACGUAGAAACACUGAAAGGCAACAGCAACAGAAUAUUACAAGGAUCAGACGACUGUGGGGCUCCGCGCUGCAGGAACUGGAACAGAACAAGCAGAUCUGGAAAUGAUCCGCACACUGGAAUUCCUUUCUAUUUUCUUUCUUCUCUUCCCUCCAAUCUCCCCAGAGAGAGUUUCCCACCCCAGAGAUCCAGCUGAUCCGCAGCCCAAGGCAGAGCUGCACGGCCGGCCCAUCCUCACCCCCAAAUCU